rnacentral:misc_RNA from 1 species
UGCUGAAAUAACUGAUAAGCUUGGACUGCACUCCCUCAGGCAGCGUCACUGGUACAUCCAGAGCACUUGUGCAACUUCUGGCGAGGGGCUUUAUGAGGGACUUGAUUGGCUUUCUAACAACAUUGCUAACAAGGCUUAAAGUGAUGCAGAUUUGUUAUUGUGGGUUGAUCCUGGAUGCAGGCGGAGUUUUAUCUAGUUUUUUUUACUUCUCAUGUCAGUGUGGUUAUGAAUAUCAUGUUGAAAGCAUUUUGUGUUUCCUUAGGGCUUUUUGUAAUGGCUGUGUAAUACAAUGGUCGAAUAUAUGUAAUUGCUGUUUGAUUAGGUAUAUCAUCAUUA